UACAGAGGUCCCAAGCGUUGUUCGGAUUCAUUGGGCGUAAAGGGUGCGUAGGUGGCGCUGUAAGUCGGGUGUGAAAUUUCGGAGCUUAACUCCGAAACUGCAUUCGAUACUGCGGUGCUUGAGGACUGGAGAGGAGACUGGAAUUCAUGGUGUAGCAGUGAAAUGCGUAGAGAUCAUGAGGGAGACCAGUGGCGAAGGCGGGUCUCUGGACAGUUCCUGACACUGAGGCACGAAGGCCAGGGGAGCAAACGGG
rnacentral:rRNA from 1 species